rnacentral:lncRNA from 1 species
GGGAUUAUUGUACUUUUAGUAAUAAGGUUAUCAUGACUCAUGAGAGUGCAGCGUAUAUAUUUUGCCGCAUCUCUAUUUUUCAGAAGAUUAAUCAAAUAUAGAGAACAUCACCUCACCUCUUCUUCUUUCACCUUUUCUAACAAAGGUUUUGUUGUAUUUGUGAUAGAGGUUUAAUAUUUCCAAGUUUUAUUGUGCUUAUUUAAUUUUUCUCGGCCGAUGUAGCUCAGAAUUAUGACUCAAUAAUAAGAAACUGGAACAAAGAAACCAAACAAGCCAAUGGGAUUAAAGAAUUUAUGCUUACAAAGGUUUUCUCAACAAAACCUUUGUUAGAAAAGGUGAAAGAAGAAGAGGUUUAAUAUUUCCAAGUUUUAUUGUGCUUAUUUAAUUUUUCUCGGCCGAUGAAGCUCAGAAUUAUGACUCAAUAAUAAGAAACUGGAACAAAGAAACAAAACAAGCCAAUGGGAUUAAAGAAUUUAUGCUUACAAAGUUCAGCUUGAAACUUUUGCCAGUAAGAAAUGGAACUAGAAUAAGCCAAAAGACAAGAUCAGUGAGCAUCACAGCACCUGCGCACAUCUGUUCACCAAAGAAAAAAAAAGCCAAUGACAAAGAAAAUUUUCAACAUUUUGCCUUCUUAAGUAUUGAAACCAACCACCCAGUAACAAAAUUAUACUCUUAAUGUCUAAUUUCAUUUCAACACCAAAAGGAAAUGGAGAAUCUUUAGCGAAAAUACAAUCAAAACUAUCAAUUCAGCAAUAAAAAAUCAGGAUGUGUAUGAGCAAUAUAAGAGAUGAGAGUAUGACUGCAAGAAAAGGUUUAGCAGUCAUAAGGUUAAUAUAAUCAAUCACAGGCACUGAUGUUUAUCCGCACUCUAUCAAGUUUAUCCAUAUUUCAUAGGUUUGGUGUUGCAAUGCCCCUUGGUCCAAGGCUCCAAGCACUUCAAUAUCUUCAAAUGGAAGUUCGUCAAAAUUUAAUGGUCUACCAGUAACUAUGAGUGCUUGGUUUUUGUAACUCAUAAAAGCUAGCAAGAUUGAGACAUUAGUUGUAAGUCAAAUUUUGAAAUGCAAACAUACACCAACAUAUCAACCCUGUUAUAGCCUACAAUAAAACCUAGUUAUAUGAUUGUGCUUAACGAACUACAUGGUUUUGCAUUAGGAGGCAUAGAAAUUUAUAUGGUUUUAUCCUUCUAUAGUUUGCCAAAAUGUAAUUCUUUGCUAAGUUAGAUUUAUCUGGAAUUCAAAUUGCAAUAUUAAAUAUGAAGAAUGAGUGUUCAUGGAACUUAUUUUUUUCAUGAAAAUGUUAUAAAGUUCAUUAUUUGAGCAAAUUAAAAUUUUGUGCAUCCGCAUUUUUUUUUUGCUUUUUGCCUUUCAUGUAAUAUACAAAAAUAGAGAUUUAUAAACAACAUAAAACACAACUUGGUUCAGUUAAUGAGAAGGGUCCAGCUCUCUGGCCUCACUGAUCUCCAUCAACAUCUGUUGUACUAUAAAGAAGAGAAAAAUGAACCAAUUACUAACUUGGGUUUCCAAAUGUAUGAGAUCAAGCAUACAGAAUACAGUAAUUCAUAAGCAAAUAUUGGGAAAUGAAAAAGAAACCAGGGAGCAAAGAAAUUUUCAUUUGUUGUUUUCCCAUAAAACUGGCAUCUUAUUAUUGGGAGAAAGUUUACCUGAAAGAUAAUCUGAAAUGCGUAAAUCCACAUUCUGGCAGUUUUCCGAACAUGAGAUUGCUCAUAGGUACCAAAGUUCUUGGACAUGUUGGAUGUAUUAGCAUUUUCCCUGAGUGUGGGAGCUAUGUAGGAACCUUGCUCUGCAUCCCAACCCUCAUAAUCAACCCUAUCAAUACCAGCUUUAUUGCGAUAUUGGCGAUAUCCCCAAAUGGAGCAAGAAGUUCCGAGCUACAAAUUGAGGAUGAGAGCAUAAGCAACAUCUACAAAAAUAAUUGAGGUACACUGAAAACUUGAAAAUUAAGGAACCAGUAUACAACAAAAAAUCCAUCCAAAAUAAGAAAAUUGAGAAAUAAAUCAACUCUUAUUUUGGGACUCAACACACCUCUGGGCAACAGAAUAACAAUUAAUUCCUAUUUAACAUCUAUGAACAAGAAGAUUUAAAUAGGAAAAAAAAAAUCAAGUUGCUUGAGUCCAUAGAAUAAAACAAAGGACAAAUUCCAAUAUCUCUAUCAAAUUUUACACUACAAUACAUAGAUAGAUUCAGCCCAGAAGGCUGUAACAGUUAAAAGAUUAUACCGCAAAAUAGAUGGUGACCAAUGCAAACGUCCACCUGUUCAGAAGAAGAAAACAGAAAAGAAAAACACCAUUUACUUCAUAAGAAAUUUCUCCAAACCGGGAUUUGUUCGAUGAGCACAUCAUUUCCACCUUAUGAGUAUAGAGAUGAACCAAUAAAGGUAGAUAACUUACUGAGUAUAAAAGUAAAAUAUACCACCUCCAUCAAUUACGAUGUUGGCAGUGAGCAAUGUGAAUAGAGUAAUAAAAGCAAUCAUUCGAUAACCAAGAAGCCAACCAGGAUGGAUUUCUUUCAGACAUGUUCUCCAAGUUUCAUCCUCAUACAGAGACCCUGCUGUUUCUUUCUGAUUUUCUCUUCUCCUGGCUUUUGUUUUGUUGAAACCUUCAUAUUUCCAUACUAAUAUUGAUGCUACAAUCAUCAUUGAUAAGAGCCAAAUUGCACAGAGGAAGAACCUCCAGUUCAACCAAUAACUUAAGGAGGUUGUAUCGUCAGCCAUGAUUGGCUGCCAGGAAUGCUUUGAGGAUCCUGUCAAGAAAUUCAUGGUGUUAGUUCUACUUGCUGAACUGGUCAAUCCAUUUUCAGGAAAAUCACUGAUUCAUGUCCACAUCCUUCUUCCGGAAGGAAAAGUGAAAUACUGUAUUGGCUUUACUUUAAUCAAAUACAGACAAUUUGCAAAUGAAUGAUGUGUCAGAAAAGGUGUAUGGAAAAUGUUCACAGUUCUGAAAAAGAUUUAAAAAGAAAAAAAGAGCAAGAAAAAGGAAAAUCUUUCAAACAAUAUGCAUAUGGCUUUUUUGUUUACAAAGGACACUGGCAGGCUUGUCAAUGACAGGAAAAACAGAACCCUAACCAUCACCACAAACGAAUUUCCGCCGGAUGAAAGCAUCUAGUUAUAGUCAAAACACCGAAUCCAAGGGAAGUCUUAGAGGAAUAACCCUAAAUAUCAAAUUAUCAAAAAAAAAAAAAACAGCUGCAAAAUAUGGAAUUAUAUUGAAAUCAUAUAUAGAACCUCCCACAAAAAUGAAAUAACGGGAGUCAACACACUGAACAAACCAAAAAAAAUUAUCGAACAAGAAGAAAGAAGUAUCAAUAAAUAGUAAUUGGGAGAGGAACCCAUAUCUCAAAAUCCCAUCACAGCCACCAUACACGAAAGUACAGCUCGCUUAUGGACUCAACCCUUUCCAAUUCCCGUAAGACCCGUCAAUUCCAAGGGGAAAGAAAGGGUGUGUGAGAAUGUUUACGGUUCAUAAUGAAUUGUAUGAGCGAGAAUUGAAUUACCUUUUCAAAUGAGAUGCUGUGGUUGGAGGAAUGAAGAUUGAGCGUAGAACCCUUUACCCCUGUUCUACUUCUAUGCGAUAGAAAGAGGAAUUACUUUAUUUGUUUUUCCUGUUUUUGCUUUGAAUUAGGAGGGAGUCCAGUUUGCCGAGAAUUUCAUUAAAACGCGUAUCCAGUAAGGACUCGUUUGUUAGCAGUUAGCACCCGAUUUCUUUGAAUUUACUGCCCAUCCAAAAAGCAGGAUGUUCUCGAAUUUUGAUUUAUAUUAAUUUACCUGUUUUUAUAUGAUUAAAAUUCAAUAUUUUAUCUCACAAUGCUUAAAUCAUGAAUUUAUAAUAGUAUAAAAAAAUUAAUUAUAAUUCAUUCUUACCUUUCCCUUUAAUUUUCUACUCUAAAAAUCAAUAAUUUUAUCAUUACCAUUUUUGACAAAAUAAUUUUUUUUUAUAGAAACUAUACAAAUGGAAAGAUAUUCUUAUAUAAAAAAUAAAAAUUUAAUUUUUUUAAAAAAAAUUCUUAUUUCAAUUAUUAUUUUAUCAUGGAAGGUCUACAAUUUUAUUUUUUUUAAAUAAUAUUUUAAUCCCAUUUAACUUUGACACAAAUAAUUUUUACUAAUAUCUCUUUAGAAUUAUAAAAUAAAAGAGAUAAAGAUACAGAAUUUACCCCUAAAGAAAUUCUAUCUAUUAGGGAAAGAAAUUUCUAAAACUUUUGAUCAAAUCGAUUCCUUUUAAAAAAGAAAUUUUGGGAUUUUGGGACUGAAUUAUUCUCUAUUUUUAUGGAAAUUGAAUGAAGAAAUAAUAAAAUUUAGAAAAUCGGGAAACUAGGAUGGGAAGGAAAGAAACACAAUAAAAAGGGAAAACGAGAGAAAGAAACAGAAGGUGGAGGAAACAAAAAAAAGCCUUUUGGAGUCUUGAUUUUUCUUCUGCUUUCAGAGUAAUCCUUCUUCGUUAUCGCUGAUCAUCAGCCCCGCCGCUGCAAUCGCUGUUCAUCAGUAGCACCGUCGCCACUGCAGCAGAAAUCCAGCCCUGACAGGUUCUGUAUUUGGUUUUUAGUUGUUAUUUUAAAUAAAAUCCACACAAUGGAGUAGUCCCAAGAACGUAUUGAUACGUAACAAACAUACUUCUUGCUCUUUAUUUAUUUUUUAUACUCGUUUCUUUCUCUUUCCACAGAAUGAGUUAUACUGAUUGGAGUAAGUUACCAAAAGAAUUAAUAGAGCUAAUUUUCGAUGAGCUACAACAUGCGGGAGACAUAAUUCGGUUUGGAACUGUAUGUAGGUUUUGGGGUUUGGUUGCUUUGGAGGCAAGGCAACAAGUCUUCAAGCCUUUGAGACCUUUGAGUCCGAUGUUGUUACUGCCUCCUAAUAAGGAUGAUGGAGCUCACAAGCUCUAUGAUUUCUUUAAGAAGAAGGCUUAUAAAAUUCAAAUUCCAGCUAUGCGCGAUAAAUGGUGUUGCAACUCAUGGAAUGGGUGGUUAAUCACAAUAAAUCACACUUUCCCUUAUGAAAUAUGUUGUUUAAAUCCGAUUUCAGGUGUGCAAAUCGAUCUACCUCCGGCAAUAACUUUUGAAGAUUCUCCUCCUGACCUUGAUGAAACACCAAUUGAAUUUUUCUUGAACAAGGUUGUUCUGUCUUCUACUCCUUCUCCUUCAAAUGCCAAUUGUGUCAUUAUGGCUAUUCAUAGUAAUUAUAACAAAUUGGCAUUUUGCAAACCGGGUGAUAAGCGGUGGAUUACUUUAAAAAGUGAUGAUAUUCAAUAUAAGGACCUCUUAUAUUAUAAGGACAAUUUUUAUGCAAUAGGAAGGUCGAAAGUUGUACAAUGUGAUAUUGGCGAUGAUCCAAGGGUUAUACCAUUCGCACUACUCCCUAAGAUGGGAUACUUUCAGUAUAGAUAUUUAGUAGAGUCAUCCGACUGCCUUCUAUAUGUGUUGAGAUAUAUGGAUUUGAAGGAUCAAGAAGAUCCUUUAAAGUUGCGGUAUGAAAUAACAGGUUUUAAGGUAUUUGAUUUGGAUUCGGAUAAAAGGAAGUUCUCAUAUCGGUAUGAAACAACAACAUUUAAGGUGUAUAAUUUUGACUUCGAUCAAAAGAAGUGGAAGCUAGUAAAAAACAUAAAGGAGAAGGCCCUAUUAUUAGGGCAUAACCAAGCUAUUUCGAUAUCUACUAAAAAAUUUGAUGGAUUUAAAAGCAAUCAUAUCUACUUUUUGGAUGACUAUAAGGAAGGUUACUUUGAAAAUACAUAUGGUUGCCAUGAUAUGGGAGUUUUUAACAUAAAAACUCAUCUCUUUAAGCCCAUUUUUCGUUGUACUCAAUUGUGGGCAUCUCCACUAUUUUGGAUGAGACCUGAACUUUCUUUACAUUGAAAUAUUGUACUACCGUUGUUAUAUCUUAUAAUAAUUGUUUUUUAACCUUUUAUAUUUCUUGUAAUAAUUUUUGUCUUUUUAUUUUAAGUAUCUAAUCUUGUUUUUUUAGUGGGGAUUACCCUCUUAUUAUGUGCAUAAGGUUUUUGGAACUCAAAAACCCAAUUAUGUCAUAGACUUCAAUGUUUGAAGGUUGAGAAAAUUUGUGGUGUAUUUUAGAAUUUGUAUGACUCUAUGAUAAAUGAUUUAUUAUGUAUUCAACUAAUUUAUAAUCAUAAAUUAAAUUUAUAUGAUAGCUAAUAAAAUUAAGAAUGUGAAAUCCAGUGCUUGUGUCAAAUAUUUAGCAAUACAUAUUUUGCAAUUUUUAUUAUGCAUAUUAGAUUUUAUCAAUUCUUAAUAUAAAAAAUAUAUAUAAUAUAAGAUUAUUGUUAUGCAAUUUUUUUUUUAAAGUUGAAAACUAUGGGUGCAAAUUGGGUGAAUUGGUCUAAUAAAACCUGAAUUAACCUAAAUAUUUUACAUUAUAUUUUUGAACAUAAUUAGAAGAUGCAUCCUAAAAAUAUUAUCAUGGUUAAAAAUAAUAUUGUCUUUUACAAACAAUUUAUCUUAUACACUUGCAUUAUACAAUAAAAAUUAUAAUGCUAGAGAAAUUAUGAAAUUUUUUUUAAACUAUUUCAUCAAGAGAUGGCAAUUUUCUAAAACAAACAUAUAAAGGAGUGAAAUAUAAAUUGAAUUAAUAUUUAUUUCUAUAAUUUGAUAUAAAAAAUUAAGAAAAGAUUAAAUAAUUAUGUAUAAAACAUUUCAAUAGUAUAUUAAUGAUAUUUCGUGAUUUUCUCUCAAAAAGCAAUUAUUAGAAAAUAAUUACUUUCAUAUGUUUAAAAUAUUUCCAUAAUAUAAUAUUGAUCGAUUACAAUUUUCCUUUCAAAAUGAAGUAUUAAAAAAGGACUACAAAGUACUAGAAUGUUUGAUAUAUUACUAUUAAUAAAAGGCAUUAUGUGAUAUGGUAUACGAUUAAAAGAAAUUAUGAAAAUUCUAAAAAUAUUUUAAAUUAUAUUUAUAAACCGAUAUAUUUAUGCAAAAUUAAAAGUAAUUAUUUUUGUAAUCAAAUAUGUUGGUAGAUAUAUUUAUUGUUGUAGUGGUUAUUGGCAAAAAGUUGUGUACUUACAAUAAGAAAUUUUAUUUGCAACAGAUUAAUUAUGUUAAAAGUUUUUUGGUAGGAUUGGAUUUAAUUUCAAUUGUCUAAUUAGUUUUCUCUAAUCUAACCUAAAGUAAUUUCAAAUGUGAUGGAAUUUCAUUAUUUUAGAAGUAAUAGAGUUUUAAUUUUUAAUUAUGAGAUUUUACUAUUCUAGAAACAAUAUGAUACUUUUAAUCUAAAUUUUUUACUUUACCUAAAUUUUAUUAUUCUAGAAUAAUGUCAUAUUUUUUGCAUGAUAAACAGUUUUUGCAUUAUUGCAUGUUAGCAUUUUGUUUUUUUUAACUAUAUAUAUCUUGUGAAAUUCACAUUUCUUGUUACAACUUGAAUAUGGAGCAUAUUGAGUUUCUUAAUCCUAAUAAUAGGUACAAAUGUCUAAAAUGUGGUGAUGAAUUUGAAAACUCUAAUGGCAUUAAGCACCACAAUUCCGACCUGCAUCGGAAAUGGCACCAUGUUUGUUCUAAAUGCUAUAAUGCAUUUGCAAGAAAGAUUAACUUGCUAGAGCAUCGUUCCAAAAAUAUUCAUGGUAUCAAUGUUGCUGAUGAGGAGGAGAAGGAGGAAGCGGAAGAGGAAGACGAUGAGGGUGGUAAUGAGGUUGAGGAUGAUGAUGGCAAUGAAGGUGGGAAUGAGGUUGAGGUUGAGGCUGAGGAUGAUUCUGGUGUUGAUGAAGGUGGUGAAAAUGCUGAGCAUGGUGAUGAGGAGGAGGCCGACGGUGGUGAAAAUGGAGAGGAUGGUGAUGGCAAUGAAGUUGGGUAGCCUGCUUAGGUUGGGCUGCUGGUUAACAAGGUUGCUGGUGGUUUUUUUGUUCCCGUGUGGUGUUAUCUAAUCAGUGUUUUGCAGUGAGUAGUGUAAUGUUUUACAGUGGUUGUGUUUGGAAACAUGUGUUGGUGUGUUGAUGCAUCGCAUGCUCCUAUAGGCAUGUAUUCGGUGUUUUAGUCAUAGUCAUAUAUUUUGUGUUUAAUUAUUAAUAAUUUCUAGAAAAAAUAUAAUAUAUUAUAUAUAAUUAUUUAAUUAAAGAGUUAAGUCCAAUCCCAAUUCAAUUUGUUAAUUACUUUUUCCCCAAAUCCAACCCAAAUUGCAAAAAGGAAUGUUCAGGGUUGGACUGAAAUUGCCCAAAUUGAACACUAAUGGUACUCAUCAAAGUAUGGGACAUUUCCUUCAUUUCAUUUCAUCGUUAAACUUUUAUCCAAAUUUAUACAAUACGAAUACAAUUAUACAAGGAAUCCAUUUGCAUUUCUUACCCCAAAACUUUUACCAUUUCUUAACUGAUCAUCUUCCAGACUCUACGGUACACUUGUUAUGGUAAUAACGAGGAACAAGAUAUCCCAAGCCAACCGCACCACAUCUUUCUCUUCACCUUCAUUCCUCACCAAGCUGCUUAGCUAACAGAUCAACAGGUAAGGAACCCAGUGGAACUGGUGAUUCCAUCUCUUCCAAUGACUCAUUCACCAAGUAUUCAUCAUCAUCAUCAUUGUACAUCUCAUCUUCACUAUAAUCCUCACUAUUAUAACCUUCAUGCUCUGCCUUUGUACCACCAGUUCCAUCUUCACUUGACAUCACUAAAGCUGGAUAGGAGUGCUCGGUGGCCUGUGAAAUGCCUUCGAAUUCCUCUACUACCUUCAAAAGAGCAUCCGGACCAAGACCAAUCUCAUCCAGCAACAAUGCUUUGCUCGACUCAAUUGCACUCUUCCACAGAGACAUCAUUUUAGGGCUUGCGCUCACUGCUUUAGUAUCCAGUCUAUGAUGGUUGCUCUUGGGAACGCCUGCCAAACAAGCAAGAAAAGAAAAAAGGGGACAUGGAACCAUCAAAAUGGAAUCCAAGCUACAACAUGGUAGUAUGAGUCAUCUGGUCGUAAAUAUUAUCAAGCAGUGGCAUGGAACAAUGGACAAAGGCAGCUUGACAAUCAAGCAUGAUUGACAAGUGUUACUAGAAAAAAAAAAUCCUUUUGGACUGAAAAGGAUGAAAUGCAUGAUUUCUAAUGGUAUGUUUUUAAUCUCCUGCAAUUCUUUGUUGCUCUUAUAACAACACACCAUAUCUUAUUGGGAGUGUGAGAACAAUUUCUAUCAAAUGAAAAGAAGUUUUCCCCAGAUACAAAAGUUUAAAAUUAUGAUUCAAAAACUUGAUAAAUAAAGAAAAGGAGAAUAAAGGAGCGUUCCAUAGAGAAAGUGCCCUACUAGCUAGGAUCUUUUAAAGAAAAACAGUCAAAUUCAAAAAUAUUAUCCUUGGGAAUGCAAUUUCCAGGAAACUGCUUCUCUUGCAAGUAGUGACAUCUGACAAGAAGCCCAAAAAACAGGAAUUAGGGCAUACCUGAACCUUCCAAGCCACUUGCAACAUCAGCAACAACAGGAAUGAGGAAAGAAGGAGCUCCUUGGUACAUUGAUUUCCAACCAUGUCCCCUCCAUGUUAAUAUCUGUUCAUCAUCAAAAGAAAGUAGCACACAAGGAACCGAUUCCUGUCCAGGGUUGAGAGGAAAAAUGUUAGAAGACAGCGGCAACCGUGUAAGCUGAAAACAAAGCAUAAAUAAACUACUGCAACUAUGGGGUUCAGAAUAUAAAUCUUGUCCAAUCAAUCCAGUCAAUCAUGUGAAGAAUUAAACCUUCAGUCUAAACACUCUGAUGACUUACAAGAACAGAAAGUUAAACAAACCUUAAGCUUAGCACCUAUCUUUUUGUAAUCACUUGCAUGCAUCCCUUUACAGUCAAUCUUCACCAAUGGACUUCCUUCAAAAGCAUCCCUCACAUCUUUCACUAAGGAAAUAUAUACUCCAUUUUUCACUGCAUUCUAGAGAAAUAUGUAAUCAGAAUGCACCUACUAGUAAUGGACAACAUAACAUAAGCUGAGCUCAGUAAGGGUGCAUACAUAUUAGUAGGACUGGAAAAGAAAUUUUGAGCAAAAUGAUUUUCCACAUGAUGGUGCAAAUUCAUAUUUUAUUUUAUUUUGUUUAUGUUUUUAUAGGUAACUCUGUUUCAUUCCCUGCUAAGACCUGAAGUUGGAACCUCUCACAUCCCCAACCUAGGCCCUUGCCACUUUUAACAUGUAACAAAUUUUAAGCAUUGAUUUGAUAUGUAAAAGUACAUAUAACUGGGAGAGAGCAUGAUUGAAUUCAGAAGUUUAAAGUGUCACCUGAAGCAAAAGGGUAGCUACCCAGAAUAGAAUAUACCAAUCAGUUGAGACCAUGUCUUACAUGGUGCAAUGACAAUUGAAAAAUUAAGGGCAUAUUUGGCAUCGGUUUCCAUUCCUGCUUUACUGUUUCCGUUUCCAAAAGAGUGAGAGUUUUGCUAAAAACAUGUUUGGGUCCACCUGUUUUGUUUUUGUUUUUCUGAAAACAAUUGCCAAAUAUGUGGCAAUUUAAGGUAGUAAAAACAGGAUGUUUAGGAAAAGGAAAAAGUAAUAUGCUUGGAAUAUGUCACUCUAUCAAGUGUGUGUGUGAGAGAGAACAAAAUAAAAUGGUAUUUGAAUUCUUAACGUGAUAUUCAAAUCCAGGCAAAAUAAAUUGGUAAAGAACCAGUGGUGGAUGAUUUACCUAAUCGACAGAUUGGUAUAAGAUUUUCCCCUUCAUUCGCAACUCGUCAGCUUCAAAUUUUGUCAAUCCUUCUGGGGCUUCUUGUAUGAGUUUUGGAUAAACAGGAGCAGCUGGUUUCCAGAGCAUCACUGGGUACUGCGGACGAGUACGAUAAUUGUAGUUUCUGCCACGAAAAAGAUAAACUACACCACCAACUCGAUGAAUGAUUUUACCCCCAGUCUUUUCCUGGAAUUGUGAAGAACACUAAAGUGCAAACCAAACAAAAAAUUUAUCUAAUUUUCAUAGUUAAUAAUGGAGAUGUAGGAUGUUGUUUCACUCUGAUUAUUAGCUGGAAUGGCACAUUGACAACAGAAAAGUUAAAAACUUCAAACAGGGUGUUUAUUAUGGGAUUUUUUUUCAGGAGACCUUAAUCACAUGAUAGGUGAGGUCUUCUAGUUCAAGGGAACAAUGGAAUGGAGUGAGAAUUGAAAGGGGUUGGAGAGAAUGACAAUAGACCCAAAUGGCAGACUCAAAGAAUGAGCUUCUGAAACGAAGAGUUAGUUAUACCAAAGCCAAUUAGUAGGAGUUUCUUGAAUAAAAAUCAACUACAUUGAUAAAUCAUAUGAACCAAUACGACAACACCGUGUGUAAAUGGAUUAAUAAAAUGACACCAUGUGCAUAAUCAAUUGAUCUUUCAGGACGAAGAUCUGGUGGUAUGGAAACAUGUCCCGAGAGAUAGUCUACCCCUUCUCUUGUUCCCUUUGAGACCUACUCAAUAAUAUAUGGCACAAUCCCACUUGGGGGAACCUCCAACUCUAGCCACCAAAAUAAAAACCAUCCCAUACACUCGAUGGAGCCCACUGCAACUGGGUAACAAACUUAACUAGGUUUCCUUUGGCUAUGCACGAAACUUAAGUAAACAAGAAGCAUCUAGGUGUUAUGCCACAAGGCAUUUUCAAUACAUGUAAGAGAUAUUUUUCUAUGAUGAUAACACACUUGGAGUCCACUUAGCAGUGCUUUUAGAAAACAUUUCUAGUAUAAAAAGUGCUUUUGGAAAAAUUAAGGCAUUUGAAAAAAUUUAGAAAGCACUUUAAAAAAAUUGAAAAAUCACCAGUACUUCCUAGAGAAGCACUUGAUGAUUAAUCCUCCCAAAAUUUUCUAGCUUUUCAAAUAGAAACACUCUCAAACAUACUCUUAGGAGUUAGGAUCAUUUUGGGGGAGUAUGAAGACAACUACUGGAGAUAUCUUUUUAAUGGAAUAAGAAGAGGCCAAUGAAGCCACCAAGAUGAAAUGGUGGAAAUGGGGAAGUGACCUCUCAUGCCACAUUAGCAUAUUGGAGCCCUCCUCUAUUCACCCCAUGAUGUGAAUGCUUUUACCUUGAGAUGAGUAGAAGAUAUCAGGGGCCAUCUCUCCUUUGUUAGAGUAAUAAAAGUAGUGGCAGACUUGAUAAAGUAGCAUCAAAGUAGCCAAAACAAUCAACACAAGGAUUACUAGAGCAUGUAUGGCAUUAAUAUAAGUAUGGUGCUACUAAUUGCAUGACUUCUACAGGUCAUUAAUCUUGUGUAUCAUGACAAUUUAAGUAUUUAACCAUAGGACCAAAAGUCUCAGUCAAAUUAGGUAUCAACAAAGGAAAUACCAGGUGAGUUAUUAUGAGUAAUUCAAGAUCCUUAUAAACAUUUAUAAUCCAUUUAUUUGCAUGAAAAUAUACAACAAAUAUUAUCCUGCAAGACUUUGGCCAGGUGAAAGAACAGGGUUUAAGAGGAACAACUGACUUCCUACCUCUACAAGAAAUUUCAGAAAGGGCUCCGCUUGUGCCAUGAGUGGCUUGAAACAUUUAUUUUAGUGAUAUAUACCAUAGAGAAGUUCUUACACAGAAGCUUAAACACCAAGAGCAUGCAUACAUGGCUAACACAUAAGGAGCAUUGCAGACAUUCAAGAUAGAACAAUUAGAUAUAGUGUUGGAAAUGAAAACCUCAAGAUGAUGGCAAACAUUAUCCAUGUCAAUUGUCGGAACACCUUUGCACCAAACUUUACAAACUCGUUGACGCUUCCAAUGUGAAUGUAUCAACUCCAACAUAUUAUGGGUUAGCCCAUCCCUUCCUACACCAUUCAAUCAUAAACAAUCAACAAAACUCCAACAUGUAUACAUCGUGCAUACUCUCUUUUCUCUUUAAUAUAUUUUCAUUUACUUACAAAAAAAAAUCAACAAAACUCCAGCAUGUAAUUAAGCCAAUGGAAGUACUAACUAGAUAACAAUAAUUUUACAAUCUCAUACCUACAACAAAUUUUCAGAGGAAGAAAAGCAACAUGAAUCACUGAAAUUGAAGUUCAAAAUACGGAUAACUCACCGAGAUUAACCUGGCGAUUAUGAGACAAAUAGGGUUUAACAAGCAUCCGUAUUUCUGCCUUGCUCAAUGGCUCUCCGAGUAUCUCCUCCCUCGUCCUCCCUUCCACGGGAAACUUCCCAAGCGGAAACGGCCCUGGCAUUUCCACACGCUUCACCCCCUUGGUUCCCGGCGGAGGCGGAUUAAAGGAAUCAAAGAGUGGAAUCUUCUUCUUGGAUUUCUUCAAUGGCGCCUUCCCAGUCCACGGCCUUGGCAUUGUGGGCGGAGCAAAGGGCAAGAAUGCCGGCUCCCGGAUUGCCAAGGGCUUAGCUUUGGGGGUCUCGGAGUAACUGAACUGGAACUCGAAUGGUGCUCCAGCGAGGAGAUAUGACACGCCGGAUUCGCCGAUGACGACGGAGCGGUCACCAUCCGAUGCGAUAACGCCAUCGGAGACGGGCUUGUAAUAUUUGGAACGGUGAUGAACGGUUUUGAAGGCGGGAGUGGAGGGUUUAGUUGGAGGUCUUGGGGACUUUUGGGAUUUGAGAGGUGGUGGGUAUUUGGGAAUUGGGAUGGGCGGCUGAGGAGGUGUUGAUGUGGUGGAGGCAUUUGGAGGAGGGCCUUGAGGGAGAGAGGAGAAGAGGCUAGAAGAACCUGGUAGUGUUGCCAGAAUCACCAUCGAAGAAGGCUUAAUUCAUCUGAUGACACUGAAAGUUCGAGUUUUCUUCUGGUUUUUCAGUUUUGGGGAGCCAACAGAUAUAUCUUAGGCUGGGACAACGGUGAAACGACGUCGUUUUUCCCAGUUUAAAGGAUAUGCCAAUUUUCUUAUCAUCGGAGGUGUCCAAAGCCCGCAUCCGCAUCAACCCUCGUAGACUCGCAGCUCAGCGCUAGACAAACUCCACUGUAUAGUAAAUGGCUCUGUUCAACAUGAUUAUCAUCUAUAACCGCCCUUUUUCUGUUGGCCUAUUCAUACUUAGAUGAUAUAUGGAUGCCAUGAAUCCACUGUGAAUUUGUCAUCAUUUUGUUUUCAUUUCAUUUUCGACCAUGGACGUGGUAUUUUUUUGAGAAUAAUGUUAAAAAGUGUGAUUAACUUUUUUCUGUCCUAUUUUUGGGUGUUUCGUAUGGUGUUGGAUUAAUUUUACCUUUUGUGAUUGGAUUUCUAGUCUGGAAAAUCUGCCAUUCCCAUUCCUCAAGGAUUUUGGAAUUUAUAUUCACCAACCCAAUUUGACUCUGUUCAUGUUGCUCUUUGACUCAUCUUGUCCUGUCAAUUCCUUUGCAGUGAAGAUGCUUAGAAAAAUAGCUUAUCUUCUGGUGGGGAAUCUGCCAAAUUAUUUUUAAUCAGAGUAGUCUUUGUUUUAAACUAGUACAACUUCUUGCUAGUAAGAUUUUUUUCCACUUAGAUGUGGGUGGAAGACUACCUGGUUGAUCAAUAUUUGUCAUUAUCCGAUACCUCAAAAGCAAUUAUCAUCUUCUCUAGUAAUCUUCAACCACAAACAAUUUGGAAAAGAGUAAGAGCCUAAGAGAGAAUUUAAAAUGUAUGAGUUAAGAGGCAUAAAGAGAAUUUUGAAUCGAAAUUGCCAAUACACAAUGAGAAUUUAUUGAUUGGUUUGGCUUGUGAAUGAUAUUAUAAUUCAUCAUCAAUUAAUAUUGUAUAAGUCCAUAAUAUUUGACCACGAUGGAGUGGUAAAAUAAUUUAUAUUUUGAAAUAAUGAUUUUAUGUAAAAAGUUUAUAUUAAAUAUUACAUUUGCAAAAUAUUAUGAAAUAUUAAUUGAAGUUAAAGAGUAGUCUUUAAUUAGACAAUUAAAUCCAUAUUUUACCAAUUAAAUGGACCUAUGAUGACAGAUUAAAUAAAUUACAUCAUAAAGUUAAAAUUACAAUCAAAUAGCACCAUUAUUAGCGAAACUUCAACUAAUCAUUUUGUAAUAUGAUCAAAAUUCAAUAUUUAUUGAAUAUGAAUGUUGUAAAAUAGUUAAAUAUGAUUGACUAUUUAACUUUUUCAUAUGGAUUCAUCUUCAUCCUUUCGUCCUCUGCUGCUCUUCUUCAUUCCAUUCAAGUGAAAACACUUUGUCUCGUCCAAAUGAAAACAAAAAUUUCUUUUUCAUUAUUACAGGAGAUAGAACAAUAGGAACAAUAUAGAACUACUUACCGUUCGUGACCCUUAGACACAAGGGUCACUCACUCGUUUACCAAAAGGGAAAUAUAUAUUCUAAUUUCUAUAGUCAUUCCUUACCAUUUGUGCCCCAUAGGAACAAUAAAUAUAUAUCUUUAUUUUGAUUAAAUCACUACCAUUGAAAUUUUGGUUUUUAUAGAUGAUAUUUUAUAAAUAAAAAUAAAUUUAAUAAGGCAAAUUAUUAAUAAUUUUAAUUAUUUAAAUAAAUUAAUAUUAAUAGAAAAAGUUGUUACCACAUAUUUUUAAUAAAAUUUUAGAAAUUAAAUCUCAAAAUAAAUAUUUUAUAUAAAUUAAUUUAAUUUUUCAUUUAAAAUGUAAUAAAAUUACAUUUACAAAAUAACUUUAAAAUGUGUAUUCUUAUUUAUUUUAUCAUUUUUUGGCGUUUUUCUAAGCAUUUUUAUGAAUUUUAAAUAAUUUUUGCUCCAUUGAUAUUUAUGAAAAAAUAUCCACCGAUAUUUGUGAAAAAAUAUCCGCCGAUAUUUUUUCAAUAUUUUCAAUAUAUCCAUAAAAUCGAAAUACUGAUGUAUGCGUAGUUACCGAUAUUUUCAUUUUCUUCAUAAUUUGAAUUAUUAAUCUUUAAUAGUUUUAUUGGGAAAAAAGUCAUGAAAUAUCAUCAAUAUAUUAUUAAAAUAAUUUAAAAUUUUUGGACAACUUAGAUGUUCUCCAUUUUUUUCUAUAUGAUAAUCAUAUGCAUGAAUUUGAUUUAUAUUAAUUUACCUAUUUUUAUAUGAUUAAAUUUAAAUAUUUUAUCUCACAAUGCUUAAAUUAUGAAUUUAUAAUAGCAUAAAAAAAUUAAUUAUAAUUCAUUGUUACCUUUCCCUUUAAUUUUCUACUCUAAAAAUCAAUAAUUUUAAAGAAUUAACUUAUCAUUACCAUUUUUGACAAAAUAAUUUUUUUUUAUAGAAACUAAACAAAUGGAAAGAUAUUCUUGUAUAAAAAAUAAUUUUUUUUUAAAAAAAAUAUUCUUAUUUCAAUUAUUAUUUUAUCAUGUAAGGUCUACAAUUUUAUUUUUUUAAAUAAUAUUUUAAUCCCAUUUAACUUUGACACAAAUAAUUUUUACUAAUAUCUCUUUAGAAUUAUAAAAUAAAAGAGAUAAAGAUACAGAAGUUACCCUUGAAAGGAAUUCUAUGUAUUAGGAAAAGAAAUUUCAAAAACUUUUGAUCAAAUCCAUUCCUUUUAAAAAAGAAAUUUUGGGAUUUUGGGACUGAAUUAUUCUCUAUUUUUAUGGAAAUUGAAUGGAGAAAUAAUAAAAUUUAGAAAAUCGGGAAACUAGGAUGGGAAGGAAAGAAACACAAUAAAAAGGGAAAACGAGAGAAAGAAACAAAGGGUGGAGGAAAAAAAAAGAAGCUUUUUGGAGUCUUGAUUUUUCUUCUGCUUUCAGAGUAAUCCUUCUUCGUUAUCGCUGAUCAUCAGCCCCGCCGCUGCAAUCGCUGUUCAUCAGUAGCACCGUCGCCACUGCAGCAGAAAUCCAACCCUGACAGGUUUUGUAUUUGGUUUUUAGUUGUUAUUUUAAAUAAAAUCCACACAAUGGAGUAGUCCCAAGAACGUAUUGAUACGUAACAAACAUACUUCUUGCUCUUUAUUUAUUUUUUAUACUCGUUUCUUUCUCUUUCCACAGAAUGAGUUAUACUGAUUGGAGUAAGUUACCAAAAGAAUUAAUAGAGCUAAUUUUCGAUGAGCUAUAACAUGCGGGAGACAUAAUUCGGUUUGGAACUGUAUGUAGGUUUUGGGGUUUGGUUGCUUUGGAGGCAAGGCAACAAGUCUUCAAGCCUUUGAGACCUUUGAGUCCGAUGUUGUUACUGCCUCCUAAUAAGGAUGAUGAAGCCCACAAACUCUAUGAUUUCUUUAAGAAGAAGGCUUAUAAAAUUCAAAUUCCAGCUAUGCGCGAUAAAUGGUGUUGCAACUCAUGGAAUGGGUGGUUAAUCGCAAUCAAUCACACUUUCCCUUAUGAAAUAUGUUGUUUAAAUCCGAUUUCAGGUGUGCAAAUCGAUCUACCUCCGGCAAUAACUUUUGAAAAUUCUCCCCCUGACCUUGAUGAAACACCAAUUGAAUUUUUCUUGAACAAGGUUGUUCUGUCUUCUACUCCUUCUCCUUCAAAUGCCAAUUGUGUCAUUAUGGCUAUUCAUAGUAAUUAUAACAAAUUGGCAUUUUGCAAACUGGGUGAUAAGCGGUGGAUUACUUUAAAAAGUGAAGAUAUUCAAUAUAAGGACCUUUUAUAUUAUAAGGACAAUUUUUAUGCAAUAGGAAGGUCGAAAGUUGUACAAUGUGAUAUUGGCGAUGAUCCAAGGGUUAUACCAUUCGCACUACUCCCUAAGAUGGGAUACUUUCAGUAUAGAUAUUUAGUAGAGUCAUCCGACUGCCUUCUAUAUGUGUUGAGAUAUAUGGAUUUGAAGGAUCAAGAAGAUCCUUUAAAGUUGCGGUAUGAAACAACAGGUUUUAAGGUAUUUGAUUUGGAUUCGGAUAAAAGGAAGUUCUCAUAUCGGUAUGAAACAACAACAUUUAAGGUGUAUAAUUUUGACUUCGAUCAAAAGAAGUGGAAGCUUUUAAAAAACAUAAAGGAGAAGGCCCUAUUAUUAGGGCAUAACCAAGCUAUUUCGAUAUCUACUAAAAAAUUUGAUGGAUUUAAAAGCAAUCAUAUCUACUUUUUGGAUGACUAUAAGGAAGGUUACUUUGAAAAUACAUAUGGUUGCCAUGAUAUGGGAGUUUUUAACAUAAAAACUCAUCUCUUUAAGCCCAUUUUUCAUCGUACUCAAUUGUGGGCAUCUCCACUAUUUUGGAUGAGACCUGAACUUUCUUUACAUUGAAAUAUUGUACUACCGUUGUUAUAUUUUAUAAUAAUUCUUUUUUAACCUUUUAUAUUUCUUGUAAUAAUUUUUGUCUUUUUAUUUUAAGUAUCUAAUCUUGUUUUUUUUUUAGUGGGGAUUACCCUCUUAUGUGCAUAAGGUUUUUGGAACUCAAAAACCCAAUUAUGUCAUAGACUUCAAUGUUUGAAGGUUGAGAAAAUUUGUGGUGUAUUUUAGAAUUUGUAUGACUCUAUGAUAAAUGAUUUAUUAUGUAUUCAACUAAUUUAUAAUCAUAAAUUAAAUUUAUAUGAUAGCUAAUAAAAUUAAGAAUGUGAAAUCCAGUGCUUGUGUCAAAUAUUUAGCAAUACAUAUUUUGCAAUUUUUAUUAUGCAUAUUAGAUUUUAUCAAUUCUUAAUAUAAAAAAUAUAUAUAAUAUAAGAUUAUUGUUAUGCAAUUUUUUUUUUAAAGUUGAAAACUAUGGGUGCAAAUUGGGUGAAUUGGUCUAAUAAAACCUGAAUUAACCUAAAUAUUUUACAUUAUAUUUUUGNNNNNNNNNNNNNNNNNNNNNNNNNNNNNNNNNNNNNNNNNNNNNNNNNNNNNNNNNNNNNNNNNNNNNNNNNNNNNNNNNNNNNNNNNNNNNNNNNNNNNNNNNNNNNNNNNNNNNNNNNNNNNNNNNNNNNNNNNNNNNNNNNNNNNNNNNNNNNNNNNNNNNNNNNNNNNNNNNNNNNNNNNNNNNNNNNNNNNNNNNNNNNNNNNNNNNNNNNNNNNNNNNNNNNNNNNNNNNNNNNNNNNNNNNNNNNNNNNNNNNNNNNNNUUUACCAUUUCUUAACUGAUCAUCUUCCAGACUCUACGGUACACUUGUUAUGGUAAUAACGAGGAACAAGAUAUCCCAAGCCAACCGCACCACAUCUUUCUCUUCACCUUCAUUCCUCACCAAGCUGCUUAGCUAACAGAUCAACAGGUAAGGAACCCAGUGGAACUGGUGAUUCCAUCUCUUCCAAUGACUCAUUCACCAAGUAUUCAUCAUCAUCAUCAUUGUACAUCUCAUCUUCACUAUAAUCCUCACUAUUAUAACCUUCAUGCUCUGCCUUUGUACCACCAGUUCCAUCUUCACUUGACAUCACUAAAGCUGGAUAGGAGUGCUCGGUGGCCUGUGAAAUGCCUUCAAAUUCCUCUACUACCUUCAAGCUGUGGUUUCCCCUAUUCUUCACAUUUGUUCCCUCAAAUUAAUUGAUUAGGCCUGAUCACCUGGAUAAUCCCAGAAAAAAUAUUGCCCACUUCCUUUAUUUUGGGAAAAAAAUGUGGUUUGUCCCACUGUUGCUUCCAAUAUCUCCUCACUAGCCUUGUGUCUUAAUGGAGAACAAUCCUUCCAAAAUGGCCUUUGAAACAGGAUAAAUUAGAAAUUCCCUCAGUUUUUCAGUUUUUCUUCAAGGAAAUAGACUCAGUUUGGUGUCUAUUCAAUUAUUUUGUUCAGUAAUGCUUUGUAGUUUUUACAUUUUAUUAUUAAGUUUUGUGAGACUAAUGAGAUUAUUCAUCAGACAUAUUACUCUUACACCAUACAAAAUGGAAUGGCAGAGAGGGAAAAAAGAGAUUUUGUGGAAUUUAUCUAUUUACUUCUUUUUCAUAUGCAGGUUUCAAAAAGGUUUCGAGAAGAUGCUGCCCUGAUGGGUUGUUUUCUUUUAAUUGUGUCCCAUUGAGUGUCAGUGGUAAUAACUCCUAUUCAGAUACAUGUGCUUUUGGCAUAACGAGUCAGUAGGUUCAGAUAAGUUUUCUUCUUGAGCCACAAAGCGUCAUCUUUGAGCAUUCCACAUCUCAAAAGGUAACAAAUAUUGCAAGUAACCCUAUGUUUUGUGAAUGCACUAAACAUUGUCAUUUCAUUCAAGAUGUAGUGAUGAAAGAUUACGUAGGCAUUGAAAAUUUUUAUACUACAUCUUGAGGAGUAAUGAAGUUUAUAAAUGAGGGGAUUAUUGUACUUUUUGUAAUAAGGUUAUCAUGACUCAUGACUCAUGAGAGUGCAGCGUAUAUAUUUUGCUGCAUCUCUAUUUUUCAGAAGAUUAAUCAAAUUUAGAGAACAUCACCUCAUCUCUUCUUCUUUCACCUUUUCUAACAAAGGUUUUGUUGUAUUUGUGAUAGAGGUUUAAUAUUUCCAAGUUUUAUUGUGCUUAUUUAAUUUUUCUCGGCCGAUGAAGCUCAGAAUUAUGAAUCAAUAAUAAGAAACUGGAACAAAGAAACCAAACAAGUCAAUGGGAUUAAAGAAUUUAUGCUUGCAAAGUUCAGCUUGAAACUGUUGCCAGUAAGAAAUGGAACUAGAAUAAGCCAAAAGACAAGAUCAGUGAGCAUCACAGCACCUGCACACAUCUGUUCACCAAAGAAAAAGAAAGCCAAUGACAAAGAAAAUUUUCAACAUUUUGCUUCUUAAGUAUUGAAACCAACCACCCAAUAACAAAAUUAUACUCUUAAUGUCUAAUUUCAUUUCAACACCAAAAGGAAAUGGAGAAUCUUUAGUGAAAAUACAAUCAAAAGUAUCAAUUCAGCAAUAAAAAAUCAGGAUGUGUAUGAGCAAUAUAAGAGAUGGGAGUAUGACUGCAAGAAAAGGUUUAGCAGUCAUAAGGUUAAUAUAAUCAAUCACAGGCACUGAUGUUUAUCCGCACUCUAUCAAGUGUAUCCAUAUUUCAUAGGUUUGGUGUUGCAAUGCCCCUUGGUCCAAGGCUCCAGCACUUCAAUAUUUUCAAAUGGAAGUUCGUAAAAAUUUUCUGGUCUACCAGUAACUAUGAGUGCUUGGUUUUUGUAAACUCAUAUAAAAGCUAGCAAGAUUAAGACAUUAGUUGUAAGUCAAAUUUUGAAAUGCAAACAUACACCAACAUAUCAACCCUGUUAUAGCCUACAAUAAAACCUAGUUAUAUGAUUGUGCUUAAGGGACUACAUGGUUUUGCAUUAGGAGGCAUAGAAAUUUAUACGGUUUUAUCCAUCUGUAGUUUGCCAAAAUGUAAUUCUUUGCUAAGUUAGAUUUAUCUGGAACUCAAAUUGCAAUAUUAAAUAUGAAGAAUGAGUGUUCAUGGAACUUAUUUUUUCAUGAAAAUGUUAUAAAGUUCAUUAUUUGAGCAUAUUAAAAUUUUGUGCAUCCGCAUUUUUUUUUUUGCCUUUUGCCUUUCCUGUAAUAUACAAAAAUAGAUAUUUAUAAACAACAUAAAACACAACUUGGUUAAGUUAAUGAGAAGGGUCCAGCUCUCUGGCC